AAGUCUUAAACACAGAUGAAGACAUUCUACUUUCUGGACCCUCUGGGUUGGCCCAAGGCCACAGCCAGAGGGCAGAAGUUUCAGACUCAGAAUAUAUUUCCCGUAUCUCUCCUGCAGACAAGCUCUUUGACAGAGAAUUCUGGAAGAACCAAGAGAAUGUGCCUCAGCCUGAGUCAUAUGUGGUCUCUCUUGGCAGUGAGAUUGCAGGAGAAAAGUCUUCUUCCUCAGAAUACGUCUGCAUCUGCCCUUCUGGUAAGUUUAUCCUCGCUAAAGAGGACGGUAAGGGAAAUACACAGGUCGCCUCUGAGCAGAGACAGCAGGUACAACUGAGCUGCUCAGCCCAAGCCUGACUUAUCUUAUUCUCCCCUUGAGAGCAGAAGAGGGCUUCAGGGCAGAGGGACUAGGACUGAAGCCCCUGCAGAGGAACAGAAAGGGAGUGUAGCUUCAGGG
rnacentral:lncRNA from 12 species